ACUUGGAUAGCUUAUAUAUAGAGUAUAACAUUGAAGAUGUUAUUGAGAUUUUUGAUCUUCAAGUG
rnacentral:tRNA from 1 species